rnacentral:rRNA from 1 species
CACGCGAGCUGGGUUCAGAACGUCGUGAGACAGUUCGGUCCCUAUCUGUUGCGGGCGUAAGAGAUUUGAAGGGAGCUGUCCUUAGUACGAGAGGACCGGGAUGGACGAACCUCUGGUGCACCAGUUGUCCUGCCAAGGGCAUAGCUGGGUAGCUACGUUCGGACGAGAUAAACGCUGAAGGCAUCUAAGCGUGAAACUCCCCCUAAGAUUAGAUCUCUCAUCCAUUAGGAGUAAGGCGCGUCGUAGACUAUGACGUUGAUAGGCCGGAGGUGGAAGCACGGCAACGUGUGCAGCUGACCGGUACUAAUCCGCCGAGGGCUUGACCUU